GAUACCCCAGGUCAGGCGGGGCUACCCGCUGAGUUU
rnacentral:rRNA from 1 species